GGAAGAGGAGGCUAGCGUAAUCAGGAGUUAUUGGGCGUAAAGGGUACGUAGGCGGCUGAUCAAGUCUGGGGUUAAAGACCACAGCUUCACUGUGGGGGGGCCUUGGAAACUGACCGGCUGGAGUGGGGCAGGGGUUGCGGGAAUUCCCUGUGUAGCGGUGAAAUGCGUAGAUAUCGGGAAGAACACCUGAGGCGAAAGUGCGCAACUGGGCCCUAACUGACGCUGAGGUACGAAAUUUAGGUGAUCGAAUGGG
rnacentral:rRNA from 1 species